AAACGGGUGGUAAUGCCGGAUGCUCCGACAUGACGCAUGUCGUGUCGGGAAAGAUUCAUCGGUAUGGGAUGGGGUCGCGUCCUAUCAGCUUGAUGGCGGGGUAACGGCCCACCAUGGCUUCGACGGGUAGCCGGCCUGAGAGGGCGACCGGCCACAUUGGGACUGAGAUACGGCCCAGACUCCUACGGGAGGCAGCAGUGGGGAAUAUUGCACAAUGGGCGCAAGCCUGAUGCAGCGACGCCGCGUGCGGGAUGACGGCCUUCGGGUUGUAAACCGCUUUUGACUGGGAGCAAGCCCUUCGGGGUGAGUGUACCUUUCGAAUAAGCACCGGCUAACUACGUGCCAGCAGCCGCGGUAAUACGUAGGGUGCAAGCGUUAUCCGGAAUUAUUGGGCGUAAAGGGCUCGUAGGCGGUUCGUCGCGUCCGGUGUGAAAGUCCAUCGCUUAACGGUGGAUCCGCGCCGGGUACGGGCGGGCUUGAGUGCGGUAGGGGAGACUGGAAUUCCCGGUGUAACGGUGGAAUGUGUAGAUAUCGGGAAAGAACACCA
rnacentral:rRNA from 1 species